GCCAAACAAACCGCACGCACGUACGAGCAAUGCCUCCUGCUCCUCUCGAUCCCCUCGACGUACGAUCUGUGAUUGCAGACGCACGAGAUCGCUGCAGCCGCUGCUCCUCCUCUCCCGGGACGCAGCCGCCACCGCCGAACCAGGGAGACGCCAGCGACCGUCGCUGCCGUCGCGGAUAUCACCAGGAAGCCACCGCCACCGUCGCGCCUCGGAUAUGUCGCGGAUCACCGGGACGCGGCCGUCGCGGAUCAGGAACACCAGGACACCGCCGGCGGCGGCCCCUCGGAUACCGGCAACCGGCGGCGAUUGAGACCAACGAGGCGGCACCACACCCCUGGUACUUCCCUUCCCCAUCCGCCAAUCCUCUACCCCCUCCCCCCCUCCUCUACAAAGGCCCGUGCGGCCCUGUCCCUACGACCUCGCCGGCCACGACCAGGGAUGGCUGUGCAUCCCGACGCCUCUCUUCUCCAUUGAUCCCCCAUCUCCUCAAGGUGAAUCUUCUCCAGAAGGUACCCCUCUCCUCCCCGACGAGUACUCGCUUCCUUACAGGCAGGGGCGGAUCCACCAUGGGACAUGGGUGUACAGAUGCACAUCCAAAUUCUUUUGCCAAAAAUUCGUAUAUAGGUAUGUACUUUUUAUAUGACAGAAAUACUAGCUUAUAGGCUCAGUUCAGAGCAGCCCAAUAGCCGGCAACAAACCAGCAAACCAGCCACUUUUGUGUUGAACGCACACGACAGAGUGAACGAUGAUACCGUGAACUGAAUGUCUAGCUGCUAUUCAGAUUCAUUGUGAAAUCCCAACUGAAUGUGUAGCUGCUAUUCAGAUUCAGAGAGAAAAAUGUGUAGAUGACACUGAGUGAGGAUCUGCUUGAUUUCAUUAGCAGGAAAAAAAAUUAAUUAUCUUUGAAUUGUAGGCAGUAGAGCAUGUCUUGAAUUAUCUUUGAAUUGUAAGUUGUAGAUGACACCUGGUUAAGCUUGCACACCUUUUUUCUAUGGAUUUCACGGAGGAAGAUUUGAUGCAUAACUUGAUUACAUUAAUUGGGACGGAAUUCUUUUUUCAAGUGAACGAUGAUGUUGUCAUAUCUCGUCCUUAAGCCAUGACAUAUUGUAGUUUUCUCCUUCUAUUUUGUAAUUUUCUUAAUCUUUUCAGAUAUUGUUGCUAUUGUGAAAUUCGUAUUGCUGUGAACCAAUUGGCUUGACUAUUAGGGUGCAAAAAAAAGAGCACUCAAUAUUGAAUUUCUGGAUCCGCCACUGCUUAUACAGGCACGUAGUAUGGGCUGACUGUCAGGGUCCUGACACGGGCUCUCCUUGUCCUGAUCUGAUCUUGAUGCUACUCGGUCAAUCUAUGAUGUUUGUUUCCUGUGUUUACAUGGCAGAGUGGUUGCUGCACUCGCUUUUGGAUGUGGAUGCAAGUUGGGAACUCAUUCAGUGAUUUGAGGGUGCAGGUAGAGAUGAUGCUGCGGAUGGGAUGGGAAGAUGCGUGUGUGCUAGCUGCCAUUGCAGGGACUUUUUAUUUUUCGGAUAGUUCAGCGUCUUAUUACGAAUCUGAUAGUGCUAUCUGCCACACAUACACCAUGUUACGAAUCUAUUUACAUGCGACUCAGAGAAAGAAUUGCUUUGCAGGUACACACUUGCUGCCAACUGAUGUAUUGAACUUUCAAGGAUUUUGAUUGGUCGCCCAAAUAACCCAUUCUCCUUUUGUUGAUAUUUAUGAAGGAGAUCAUUAUUUCUCUUUUAGUUUCAGGCUGCCAACAUCACGAAUUUCAUACUUAUGGAGUGGAGCCACCAAACUAUUUAUGAGGAAAUAUGUUGAAGCACCUAAUAUAUUCCAUUUGCAGUGGACAAACAGAACAACACAACACAUAAGCAGAGGAAAGUAAGCGCAAACCUUUCUCUCUUUAAAUUCUUGAGGAUGGUAACAUUUUGUUACAGGUGUUCAAGAUUCAGUUCUAACAUUUUGGGGUUGCUAAUCCAUUGCAAGUAAUCAUUGCUUAACUGCAAUGUUAUCCAAAUUUCAUGUGACUUGAGUGCUAUCUCAUUUAGUUUUAUGGCUUACAAAUAACGUGCAAUUUUGAAAUUUUGUUUGUUGGCGGCCACAUUUUCAAUAUAACUCAGAAAACUAUUGAAUACGUUAUCAGUAUGGCCUCUGAAAAAUGAUGUUUUUUCAGAUAUGCAUCCACCUUCAAGUCCAUCCAUAGGCAUUUUAAGCAAUUCAUUUUGAAAGGGCUAUAUAAAUAGCUUAGAGAGAGACAUCUACUAGCAGUAGAAUGAAGCCUCCUUGUAGUAACUCUGUGUGAAAGAAUUGAUAUAAAAAACUAGAAAUAUAUAAAUAAUAUAUAGAAGGUAGAACCAUAGAGAGAUGUGUAUGUUUAAUUGGUAUAUUUUCAGUAGUAUAUUUGUGAAGCUGAUAUAUCUUUCUUUUAUAGGACAUGGUUGCUCUUGCUUCAUCUAAAUAGGCCGGCUGGAAUGCCAUGAGACCAGGUUCUGCGAAUUCUUGUUUAGGGAUCCGAUGGAGAGCUCGGAUAUGGCAUCGCAGCCGUUGAGCGACAGGGUCACGCCGAAGCUCCUCCUCGGCUGCACGGAUUGCGUCACUGUCAUGCCGGGCGAGCCGCAGGUAUGAUUUUCUUUGGUUUCCUCUGGUGGUCUUGGCAACAUGCGCUCCCAGGAUUACAAAUUCAACUGCCAGAUGGGCAGGAACAUGAUAGAUUUGGGUCGACAUGAUAUGUUCUGGAAGUUGAUUCAUUCAUUCGCCUAUUUAUCUGGUUUGUUGCCAUCCGAGGGUGGUCCAUGAAAUCAGGUCUCUGUAUUCUUUUUUUUUUCAAUCAAAGGGGAGCUACCCUGGCUCCCUUUCAUAGAAACGAAACCAAAGGUGUCUGUAUUCUCGAGAAAAUAAUCAUGACAUCUGUCAACUUUCUUUUUAGGAAUGGCUUAAUCAUAUGAGUUUGCACCGUUAACUUUUUCACAUCAUUUCUUUUACCACUUCGCUUCCAAUAAUUCAAACAACAUAUUAUGGCUUGUUUAGUUAUGGGAUCCCUAAUGUCCAGAUCUCAGCUUAGAACAUAGAUAGUAGCAAGGUAACAACGAAUAGUUAUAGUGCCUAUUCAGAUUCGACAAAACUGCAAAUGGAAGCAUUACACUUGCUGGCGUGAUGGAGGCUGAGGUCAAGUCAAAAGAAGAUAUGGGCCAUAUGGCCAUGCACUUGGCACGAGGAUCUUCGUCACGCGCAACUGAAAGUACAAACAUACAUAGCCAGGCAAGAUCGGGCUGCAAAGCAAGUUGCUGAUGAAGUGAAGUAGAUGAUUCAAAAUGAGAAGAAAUUCACUGUAUUUAUUUACGAUAGUGAACUUGAAUUGUUUUGGUAAACAAUUUCGUGAGCUGGCAUUACACCUAUUUUGGUAAACUAUUUCGAGAGCUGGCAUUAUAUCAUCCGUUGCGGCUCUUAUUUCAUGUGCCUUCUUGAAAGAGCACAUGUAGAAGAAAAUAUGGUGAAAUAAUAAAGUUUGUAGAGCAAGACAAUGGAUUCCAUCAACUCCCAAGUCUCAAGUUCUUCAUGUUUUCUGACCUAAAUAUUAACGUGAGGUGAAUGAAGAUGAUGUCAUGUCUUGUUGCAGGGUGAUUGAGGAGUAAAUGCAAAGGUACAAAGAGUAACUAAUAAGUGUGUUUGAACAAUGAUAGUUGUUCACAUUAGGCAUUUGCGUAGGUACUGUGUGCAGUUGCAACCCCCACUCAUAUGUGUGAAUUGAAUCUACUUCCUUUUCUUCCUGUUCAAAUAUAGGUAGAGCUGCAAGAGUGGUGGACAUGCAACACAGGGAGGUGAAAGAAGGGAGGAUCAGGAAGGAUGGAGGGAGGUGACAAAGCUAGGAGAAAGGAGGGAGACACCAAGGAAGGUGGCAUGGGAAGAAAGUGAAGUUGUGGCCCAAGGCUAGAGUGUGAUCGUGUAAAAUUGUUACCUUUCCAUCAAUGCUCAGGUUCAUUGUCAUUUUUAAAGUCUGGCACUUGAAGAUCUACACAAUUGUUGUCGAGGAAGAUGAUAAACUCAAUGAGGAUGAUAAUUGGGGUUAUUGUGAAGCUCGAUGUUUGGUGGAGUACUCUCGCGGUAAAGAGGACAAGGCAUGCAAACAUGAGUAACUGAUAGGUUUGUGUAAUCACUUCCAUUUUUUCUAGGAACAUUGAAUAUAAUUGAUUUUGUAAAGAAAGCGGUAGAGAAGACUGUACUUUUGGACCUUCAGGUGAAGCGGGAAUUAUAUCAUUGUGAUAUCAAAUAAUUGUUCAUUGAUUGUUUGAAUGAGUUGUUGACA